rnacentral:lncRNA from 10 species
UCCCAUGGGCCAGCAUUUACUGCUGCUGGUUUGUUAACAGAACUCCGACCUCAUGGACAUUUGGUUGCUUGAUGGUUAUGUGCUGGGAGUAGGGAAUGGGAAGGUGAUUGGAACACCUGGAGUAUAAGUGGAGUAAAGAGUACAGAAGAAAUGCCUCUGGCGGAAAGUUUGAAGCAGUUUCUGUGCAAGACUGGAGCUCACACAUGAAGCCAACUCUGAGGAAGUACAAAGUGUUGUCCCCAAUCCUCGUAAUAUCCAGGUUCUUUGGCAGCUUGCUCUGCCCAAAAGAAGAUAGGAGACAGACAGACAGACAAACACACAGGCAUACACACAGAUGCGCAGAUGGACAGACAAUAAACUUUUCCUGGGGAUGUGAAGGAAGAAUCUAAGAAGUAAAGAUGGGACUCCGUUUCAGAUGAUGAAGCUCUAAAAUGACUUCAGUUGACGGGUAAAGCCCAUGACCUCUGGCCUCAGCAGGUUUCAGAGAACAGGCAGAUGGGUGAUAAUACUCAGAAAGGCAUCCAUUUAUCAGUGAGUUUUCCUUCUAAGCUACAUCCCACACAGCAGCUUUGUGAAUGCCUUCAUCCCACACCUCAGCAAUUUUGAACCAGAACAAGUUUCCGUAAAGGGUAAGGAUGAUCUGUAUAAAAUGGUCUGUGUAAGAAUGAUCUGCAUAAGAAAUGAAAAGAGCAGGUGUGUUCAAGGAGUCAGACCUCUUAGACUCUAAGCACCCCCCUCUCUCAUAAUACCUUGUAACUUUGGAGACAUUCUUUAAUCUGGUUAAACCUCCAUUUUCUUGGUUAUAGCAUGCAAAUAACUAAUUCC